rnacentral:snRNA from 1 species
AGCUUUGCGCAGUGGCAAUAUCGUAGCCAAUGAGUUUAUCUGAGGCAGGAUUAUUGCUAAUUGAGAAAGACUUUGGUGGUGAGUACAAAACAAAGAAUGCACAAACUCAACAGGACCGUGGCAAAAGUGUACUCAAUGAUCCCCAAUCGGUUUCUUCAUUCUUUGUAUUCAAGUAACAUUU